rnacentral:rRNA from 1 species
GAUGAACGCUAGCGGCAGGCUUAACACAUGCAAGUCGAGGGGCAGCAUAAUGAAGUAGCAAUACGGAAUUGAUGGCGACCGGCGCACGGGUGCGUAACGCGUAUGCAACCUACCCAUAACAGGGGGAUAACACUGAGAAAUUGGUACUAAUACCCCAUAAUACUUUGGAAGGCAUCUUUUGGAGUUGAAAGUUCAGGCGGUUAUGGAUGGGCAUGCGUUGUAUUAGCUAGAUGGUGGGGUAAUGGCUCACCAUGGCUACGAUACAUAGGGGGACUGAGAGGUUAACCCCCACACUGGUACUGAGACACGGACCAGACUCCUACGGGAGGCAGCAGUGAGGAAUAUUGGUCAAUGGUCUGACGACUGAACCAGCCAUGCCGCGUGAAGGUCACGGCCCUAUGGGUCUUAAACUUCUUUGCGAGGGAGCAAUAAGGUCUACGUGUAGUCCGAUGAGAGUACCUCGCGAAUAAGCAUCGGCUAACUCCGUG